GCAGAGUAACACAACAAGUAGAUUAGUUAUAAGCUUCAAUUAGCAAUAGGGAAACCAGCAGACACAGGGGUACCCAGAACCAGGACUGAGAACAGCAUGCAGAUUAUCUGGACAGAAUCUGGUUUCAUAUCUAUGAGGCACUCAUUUGUGGCACAAGCUUCUGAUGAAGAUAAGAAUGAUGCACUGCCCUUUUAAUUUUACAGAUAUCAUUUGGGGUGGAUUAAUUUUACAGUGAUCCAACUAUUUAUUGAGAAGAGUGGCAGACAAAGAUCAGGUGUGUUUCCAAAAAAGUGACUGGUUGCAUUACUGCCUUUGCCUAGGUGACUGUGCCUGGAAGUCUGCUAUUAUUCUAACUCAGCAUAAAUAUGCAGUAGCAAGGAUACACAGCAAACCAAUAACCACACAGUAAGGAAGAAAUUAACAAUCAAUCAAGAAGAAGGCUGCACAGCAUGACGAUACAGCAGAGUAUUCUUUCUAUACGAGAAUUGCCAUAAAUGUUUUUUUCUA